rnacentral:misc_RNA from 1 species
AAAAAAAAAAAAAAAAAAAUCCUUUUUUGGUUGUUCUUGUUGGAUUUGACUGACUAUUGUUUGGAUGAAUUUGAAGUCCAGGUUCAUUAAUUGUGUGAAUUGAUGUGUUUGACGAUAUGGGCAAGUUCUAGAAUUCAUUGAAGUGGAUUUUCUUGUCUUGUUUCAAUUGUAACUGAGCUUCUUGGGAAAGUUUAGAAGAAGCUUUGAUUCUCCUAUUGAUAAAACUGUGGUUAAUUUUAUCUUUGAUUUAAACUAUUAACCCAGAAGGCAUGGGUCUCAAGUUUAAUUUUUGGGUUUGGAUUGUUCUUAGAAGCUAAAUUCUUAUGUUAAUCAGGAGAUUAAUUUCAUUUGCUCUAUAUGUAACUCAAGCUGUUUCUGUCACACAUUUUUCUUUUGUCUUUUUUUUUUUUUUUUUUUUU